rnacentral:rRNA from 1 species
GAUGAACGCUGGCGGCGUGCCUAAUACAUGCAAGUCGAGCGAACAGACGAGGAGCUUGCUCCUCUAACGUUAGCGGCGGACGGGUGAGUAACACGUGGAUAACCUACCUAUAAGACUGGGAUAACUUCGGGAAACCGGAGCUAAUACCGGAUAAUAUAUUGAACCGCAUGGUUCAAUAGUGAAAGACGGUUUUGCUGUCACUUAUAGAUGGAUCCGCGCCGCAUUAGCUAGUUGGUAAGGUAACAGCUUACCAAGGCAACGAUGCGUAGCCGACCUGAGAGGGUGAUCGGCCACACUGGAACUGAGACACGGUCCAGGCUCCUACGGGAGGCAGCAGUAGGGAAUCUUCCGCAAUGGGCGAAAGCCUGACGGAGCAACGCCGCGUGAGUGAUGAAGGUCUUCGGAUCGUAAAACUCUGUUAUUAGGGAAGAACAAAUGUGUAAGUAACUAUGCACGUCUUGACGGUACCUAAUCAGAAAGCCACGGCUAACUACGUG